CUAAGGGCUGCUUUACCUGCAGUCGAACGGCAGCGGGGGCUUCGGCCUGCCGGCGAGUGGCGAACGGGUGAGUAAUGCAUCGGAACGUGCCCAGUCAUGGGGGAUAACUACGCGAAAGCGUAGCUAAUACCGCAUACGCCCUGAGGGGGAAAGUGGGGGAUCUUCGGACCUCACGUGAUUGGAGCGGCCGAUGUCAGAUUAGCUAGUUGGUGAGGUAAAGGCUCACCAAGGCGACGAUCUGUAGCGGGUCUGAGAGGAUGAUCCGCCACACUGGGACUGAGACACGGCCCAGACUCCUACGGGAGGCAGCAGUGGGGAAUUUUGGACAAUGGGCGCAAGCCUGAUCCAGCCAUGCCGCGUGAGUGAAGAAGGCCUUCGGGUUGUAAAGCUCUUUCGCAAGGGAAGAAAACGUGUGGGCUAAUAUCCUGCGCGGAUGACGGUACCUUGACAAGAAGCACCGGCUAACUACGUGCCAGCAGCCGCGGUAAUACGUAGGGUGCGAGCGUUAAUCGGAAUUACUGGGCGUAAAGCGUGCGCAGGCGGUUGUGUUAGACAGGUGUGAAAUCCCCGGGCUUAACCUGGGAACUGCGCUUGUGACUGCACGGCUAGAGUACGGCAGAGGGGGGUGGAAUUCCUGGUGUAGCACUGAUAUGCGUAGAUAUCAGGAGGAACACCGAUGGCGUAGGCAGCCCCCUGGGCCUGUACUGACGCUCAUGCACGAAAGCGUGGGGAGCAACAGGAUUAGAUACCCUGCUAGUCCACGCCCUAACGAUGUAACUAGUUGCUCGUAGAGUAACUCUGUGAGUACGCAGCUAACGCG
rnacentral:rRNA from 1 species